AACAUCAAGUCUUUUCAUCUAUGAGAACUUUGAUUCCACUGUUGUAGUAUUUGAUCUCUUGUUGCCUCCCUGUCUAUUCCUCAUCCUUUGGCUGGGACACUCCUCUGAGCAGAGGGGACCAGAGUCAUGGGAGCAGUGAUGGCCUGUAUCCUUGUCCUGAGCCUGACUUGAAAGGCAGUGCCUCUAGUUUCCCCACUCCACACAAUGUUUGUUGGUUAAUGACAGUGUGGUAUAAUGUAUUUAAUCUUCAAGGUAAUACCAUUGUAAUAGGCUGUGGAAAUUCAUUGAGGUUAUCUUUGUGGCCUAAUAAAUGCUCCAUUUUUAAAUGUCCCAUAGAUGUUUAAAAAUAAUUUCUAUGCUCUGUUAGGAAAUUUAUUUUUUAUGUAUCUAUUUGGUCAAGCUUUUCAGUUGUGUAUUCAAAUUCUCAUUUGUUUCAUAUGUUGUAUUAUUGGUCAGUUUCUAAAAUUGUGUUAAUGGUUCCUGUAAUCAUUGUGGAUUUGUCCACUUCCCCUUGUAUUUAUAACAGCUUUUGUUGUAUUUCAACCUGUCGGUAAGGGAAUAAAAUUCAUGGCUCAUACA
rnacentral:lncRNA from 1 species